AUGGAACUAGAGGCGUUCGUACUUCGUAGCUCCAGUGGCUGUCAGAGUCUGCAGCUUGUGUUCUUUUUUGCUUUCCUGAGGGGAUGCAGCUUGUGUGCUGGCCGGAGUGUAUUGAACAGUUAUAAUGCAGCUACCGAACUAGGUAUACCUAUUUGUGCUUAUGUGAUCUGCGGAAAUUUACAUUCAAACUAUGAAUCGGCCAGCCUACCUACAACAUUCAGAUGUUGUAUCUGCUCGUUUCGAGGUAAUGUUUUUAACUUUGUCCUACAGGCUUCUAUAGUUCUGCAUGUGCAUUAUUUAUUCGAUGUUUCUAUCUUUUUCUCUUUGGGUUUCUACAUAAUAGAGAUGUCUAUGGAGCUUGGGAACAGUGUCUUAUGUUGGAGUGGAUUGAUACUGCAAUAA
rnacentral:rRNA from 1 species